rnacentral:misc_RNA from 1 species
CCGAGUUUACAACUCCCAAACCCCUGUGAACAUACCUAUCGUUGCUUCGGCGGGAUGCCCCAGUUUGACGCAAGCUGGACCCAGGCGCCCGCCGGAGGACCCAAACUCUUGUUUUAUUUAUGUAUCUUCUGAGUAGACAAGCAAAUAAAUUA